rnacentral:tmRNA from 1 species
GGGGCUGACAGGAAUCGACAGUAAAUGUAUCGUGUCAGUAAGCAUGCCGGGGAAUGAUAGUUCACCCCGUUACCAAAUGAUUAUCGACCAACAAUCGGCGAUCGUUCUUUCGCUAUGGCAGCCUAAUUCUAGGUAGUUAGCUUGCCUUUGUGCUACGGUUUGAUUUCUGCUACAAAAUCUGACGCACACCAUAAAAUGCAGACUAAGCCAAGGGGAUGUCCUGACCCAAGGCCGACAAUCAAAGGGAAUCGGAUGGGAUCGCGUUGUUGCAGUACCUGAAACCAUCUUAAAUCCAGAUCUGCAAAUAAGCAUGUAGAAAACUGAUGUGAGCUUUAUCUGGACGGGGGUUCAAUUCCCCCCAGCUCCACCA